GCCGAAAUAGCUCAGUAGGUAGAGCAGAGGACUGAAAAUCCUCGUGUCGGUGGUUCGAUUCCGCCUUUCGGCA
rnacentral:tRNA from 1 species